UGCAGUCGACGAGACCUUCGGGUCUAGUGGCGCACGGGUGCGUAACGCGUGGGAACCUGCCUUUAGGUUCGGAAUAACUCAGAGAAAUUUGAGCUAAUACCGGAUAAUGUCUUCGGACCAAAGAUUUAUCGCCUUUAGAUGGGCCCGCGUUGGAUUAGCUAGUUGGUGGGGUAAAGGCCUACCAAGGCGACGAUCCAUAGCUGGUCUGAGAGGAUGAUCAGCCACACUGGGACUGAGACACGGCCCAGACUCCUACGGGAGGCAGCAGUGGGGAAUAUUGGACAAUGGGCGAAAGCCUGAUCCAGCAAUGCCGCGUGAGUGAUGAAGGCCUUAGGGUUGUAAAGCUCUUUUACCAGGGAUGAUAAUGACAGUACCUGGAGAAUAAGCUCCGGCUAACUCCGUGCCAGCAGCCGCGGUAAUACGGAGGGAGCUAGCGUUGUUCGGAAUUACUGGGCGUAAAGCGCACGUAGGCGGCUUUUUAAGUCAGGGGUGAAAUCCCGGGGCUCAACCCCGGAACUGCCCUUGAAACUGGGAAGCUAGAAUCUUGGAGAGGCGAGUGGAAUUCCGAGUGUAGAGGUGAAAUUCGUAGAUAUUCGGAAGAACACCAGUGGCGAAGGCGACUCGCUGGACAAGUAUUGACGCU
rnacentral:rRNA from 1 species